UUUCUAAGGAUGAUCAAGAAUUGGAACUCUUUUUAAUAAAGAACAUUCCUUUUUGAUCUCAUUAGACAAUAAAGGUCUUAAACAGUUUUGUUUAAACCUGUGCAUAUGACACCACUCUUCAUGAACCCUCAUCUUAAAGAGAGGUUCCUCUUUGAUAAAAAGAGAUAGCCAACUUGAUGAGAAAGUUCUCCUAAGAGCCAAGUGUUCAUAUGUUUAAGUUAUACAAGCAGGCUAGCCGUCUUCGUUUCUCUUUCUUCAGAUGAUGAUCCCAAGCCUUCUGGCGAUCUCUUAAGUAUUAAGGUUCCCUCAUUUUUAAAGGGUGCUUUAAGGAAAAGAGCUCUAAAAAGCUUUUGUGUUAAGAGUAUGCCGGGGAAGGUUUUCCGGUUUAUCCCGGAGGGCUUGUAGCUCAGUUGGUUAGAGCGCGCGCUUGAUAAGCGUGAGGUCGGAGGUUCAAGUCCUCCCAGGCCCACCAAUCACUCUAUCAAUUUCAUAAAGCGCUGGCGGACUUACUUAUAGGCAAGCUUAUAGGCAAGAAGUCUAUAAACCGAUAAAGCCUAUAAAUUUGUAAGAAACUUACAUAACUUUCUGGGAAAGGGCCUUAAGUGCACUUGUAAAAGGACUGAAGAGUGAUGUGAUCACUUAAAAUGAGGUUACUCUUUGAGAGGUCCGUAGAGAAAAGACAUUUGUUUUGGCAAGGUGUUUACAAAGGGCAUUAAGAGAGGAGCUUUACUGUUUGCUUUCAGCAAUUGAGAGUCAAAGCUCUUUAAAGGCAAAGUAUCCCAUUUAAAUUGGUCUUUCCUGUAAGUCUUCUUAUUUUGAGAGUUUGGAAUGGGUUAUGCUAUUUUAGGGGCCGUAGCUCAGCUGGGAGAGCACCUGCUUUGCAAGCAGGGGGUCGUCGGUUCGAUCCCGUCCGGCU
rnacentral:misc_RNA from 1 species